UCGGCCGCUCGCCGAACCGAGGUGCGACUGUCGGGGCAGAGCUGGUGGUGCUAGGCCUAGCCGGGUCGUGCAGCUGGGCGUGGGGCGAGAAAGAAGAAAGGAUCCUCCAUGGGUUAAAGCUACCUUUCCAGAUAUUUCAACUAAGUCACCAGUUUCCAAGGGCAUUUGCCACCUACGGAAAACAUCAGAUUCGAGUACACCAGAUGUCCUUGACAACUCAUCCCACCACAAAAUUUGCUCCACCAGCGGACAACAAAGGCAACCACUGUGUUUCUUUCCAUUACCAAGUAGAUAUAAUAUCCCUGCCAUCAAGACAGAAUACACAAAGUGUCUCCUCGCAGUAUCAUAACCAGUUGAGACCACGCUAAGAAAGUCAGCUUGCCUGGAGGAAGACCCCUUCUCUUCUUGGGUAGACACAGUUUGAAGGAGAAACUCUGACCUGUGCCACUGAACCCCCAAAAGACUCAGGGAUUUGAAGCACCCUGGGAGAUGGGAGUGAGGAGCAAAGUUGAAACACAGGAGGCUACUGGAGAGUGUGCAUCACCAAAACAAAAGAGCAAGUCUAAAGAAGAAGGCUUGGCAUCCUGAAGACCAGAUCUCACAAAGGAAUGCAAUGAAGGAAAGUCAGGAUGGCUACCAUGUCAAGUGAUUAUGUGUCAUGACGUGUGUUUUCUCUGUUAUCAAAUCUAUUGAGGAAACCAGGCCAAUUUAUCUAUCUGCCUUUUUUUUUUUUUUAAGAAACAGAUAACAUACCUACAGUGGAAUACAAAAAGUAUACUAAUCAUAAGUGUACUUGAUGAUUUUUCACAUGUAUGCACUUGUAUCAGGAUGUAUACACUUAAAGUGCAAAAAAUGUCCUGAUUACCUAGUUUCCCUCCCCAAGAAAGAACCACUCUUCUUUUGUAAAACUCCAUUAGCUAUGCUUGUCCUCAACUUCAUGUGAAUGGGAUCAUGCAGUGUAUAUUGUUUUAUACUUGGCUUCAUUCAUCAACACGACUGCUGUGAUUCAUCCAAAUGUUUGCAUGUAUCAGUGGUUGAUUUCUUUUUAUUGCUGUAGACUAUUUCAUUGAGUGAAUAUACCAUAAUUCAUUUAUCCAUUCAU